CUCCCUGUCGUUCAAUGGAUAGGACAGCCGCCUCCUAAGCGGCAAAUGCAGGUUCGAUUCCUGCCGGGGGGA
rnacentral:tRNA from 1 species